UGUGAUCACAGAGAGUAGUAUAUAGAUAUCUGUAGCUAAACUCCAAUGGAGGAGAAUGGAGAAAUUCUCAUAUUCUCAAACAAGAAGAGAAUCAAACAGCAGCAUCAACAUAAAAGUUUGUGCUCACAGCGAAUCAGCGAAUUACCAGAUUUCCACAUUAUGACUCAUCUUCAAAUUCCUAUAACAUUCGUGGAUGCAGCCAGAUGAGGUGGGAUUGUAUAACCAGUGCUUUGUGUUGAUUACGAGAUGCAAUCAAGGAAUCGACAUGAAAGCAUUGGUUAACUUUGGCUUGAGCAUAGCGUCAAAGAGCUUGAAGUCUACUUCUCGAAAGAAAAACAGUUCAGCGUCUUUGAUCAGAAUGGUUGGUAGUGAUGCUUGCUUUUAGCUUGACCACUGCUUGCUCGUUCACAUGCUCAAGAUAUCCCAAGAAGAUUCCUAGUGCCUGUCAGUCACAAGGAAAAUUACUGACCAUCUAUUUCUUCCAGUGAGCCACACACGAAGCCGGUGAACAAUGUCACUAUCUUUUUGUUGUUGUUGUUGUUUUUGUGUUUGUGUGGUGAACAAUAUUACUGUCAGAUAAUGCAUACAGUACGCUUAAUUACUAUGGGUCAUACUAGCCUCAAACCAUUGAUUGUACAUGUUAGUUGUCUCAUACAAGUCAGAUCAGUGAUUUACCAGAUGUUUGUUAAUAUUUUUCUUUACAAUGUAUAGUUUUACUAUCUCUUUACUUAUUAUUAUGAAAUGAAAAACACAUUGUAUUAAGAAAGUAAGAUCAUGAAUGUCAAAGCCUGAAUUUUAUGGAA